GGAGUCAUAGCUCAGUGGUAGAGCAGCGGACUGCAGUUCCGAAGGUCACGAGUUCGACUCUCGUUGACUCCU
rnacentral:tRNA from 1 species